rnacentral:rRNA from 1 species
GACAAGUGAAUUCAUAGCUUGUCAGAAGGCAGACCCGGAGAACUGAAACAUCUUAGUACCCGGAGGAAGAGAAAGAAAAUUCGAUUCCCUGAGUAGCGGCGAGCGAAACGGGAAGAGCCCAAACCAAUAAGCUUGCUUAUUGGGGUUGUAGGACACUCUAUACGGAGUUACAAAGGAAUAUAUUAAACGAAUCAUCUGGAAAGUUGAAUCAAAGAAGGUAAUAAUCCUGUAGUUGAAAAUAUAUUCUCUCUUGAGUGGAUCCUGAGUACGACGGAGCACGUGAAAUUCCGUCGGAAUCUGGGAGGACCAUCUCCUAAGGCUAAAUACUCUCUAGUGACCGAUAGUGAACCAGUACCGUGAGGGAAAGGUGAAAAGUACCCCGGAAGGGGAGUGAAAGAGAACUUGAAACCGUGUGCUUACAAGUAGUCAGAGCCCGUUAAUGGGUGAUGGCGUGCCUUUUGUAGAAUGAACCGGCGAGUUACGAUCUGAUGCAAGGUUAAGCAGAAAAUGUGGAGCCGUAGCGAAAGCGAGUCUGAAUAGGGCGUAUAGUAUUUGGUCGUAGACCCGAAACCAGGUGAUCUACCCAUGGUCAGGUUGAAGUUCAGGUAACACUGAAUGGAGGACCGAACCGACUUACGUUGAAAAGUGAGCGGAUGAACUGUGGGUAGCGGAGAAAUUCCAAUCGAACUUGGAGAUAGCUGGUUCUCUCCGAAAUAGCUUUAGGGCUAGCCUCAAGUGAUGAUUAUUGGAGGUAGAGCACUGUUUGGACGAGGGGCCCCUCUCGGGUUACCGAAUUCAGACAAACUCCGAAUGCCAAUUAAUUUAACUUGGGAGUCAGAACAUGGGUGAUAAGGUCCGUGUUCGAAAGGGAAACAGCCCAGACCACCAGCUAAGGUCCCAAAAUAUAUGUUAAGUGGAAAAGGAUGUGGCGUUGCCCAGACAACUAGGAUGUUGGCUUAGAAGCAGCCAUCAUUUAAAGAGUGCGUAAUAGCUCACUAGUCGAGUGACACUGCGCCGAAAAUGUACCGGGGCUAAACAUAUUACCGAAGCUGUGGAUUGUCCUUUGGACAAUGGUAGGAGAGCGUUCUAAGGGCGUUGAAGCAUGAUCGCAAGGACAUGUGGAGCGCUUAGAAGUGAGAAUGCCGGUGUGAGUAGCGAAAGACGGGUGAGAAUCCCGUCCACCGAUUGACUAAGGUUUCCAGAGGAAGGCUCGUCCGCUCUGGGUUAGUCGGGUCCUAAGCUGAGGCCGACAGGCGUAGGCGAUGGAUAACAGGUUGAUAUUCCUGUACCACCUAUAAUC